GACAUGCACAGGGAACAGGACAGGGGAAGAGCCACGCCUCGGUGGCCAGGUCUGACCCCAAGGCACCCCCGCCUGCCUGUCCCCAAGUGCCUCAGCACAGGAGUUAGCCAUGGCCCACUUCACUCUGUUAUUCCAGAAGGUGACACUGAUGAUGUUAGAGAAGUUAUCAAGAGAGGCCACACAGAUGACGACAGAAUGUGUGUGAAUAUCCGCGCUUUGAUUCAAUAAUUCAGAUUUUCUGGAUGGGAUUUCUGAAACAUGUCUAUUUAGAAGAUAAAAUGCAGUAUUUAGAAAGGGAACAGGAAGUAGAGUAGACUGUAGAGACAGCCAGAGAGAGAGCACAAGCAGGGACUGCAACAGAGGGAGAAACAGGCUCAAUUCCAGGACCCCUGUAUCGUGACCCUACCUGAAGGCAGAUGCCCAGUGGACUGAACCACAGAGACAUGAUAAAUAGUCUGGCUACCCUGGGGAAGAGACCUCAAGACUCCAUGGAGUUGGAGAGAGAGGGCCGAUCGCCCCACGAGCCAGGUGAGCCCAGCUUUCCAGGGGUGCCCCCAAAGACACCCAGCACGUGCGUGAGUUACGUGGAAGUUCCUCCAGUCCAGAGGAAUGCCAGAUGACAUGCCAUGGAGCCGGAAAUUCACCUCGUGGAGUCCAGGCAACCCUCAGAUUCAAGAGAGAUUAAAAAAAAAAUAAAAGUAGUUGUUUUAAGCCUCUAA